ACUUAGCAAAACUGUCUUUCUGCAAAAAUCAACCAACACACAGCCACACUGAGGAGCUGGGGUUCUUCCAAGAGAGAAUACUACUGAAGUGAACCCUGACUGGCCUUGGAUUCGUGCAGCUGUCCCGGGCUCAAUGGCCACCGUCACACAGACAACAGGGUCCUUUCCAACUACAACAGGUGUCCCUGAUUUUAAGUCUUACUUAAAUUUCAGCAGAGACUGCAGUACGGUCAUGGAAAAAAAAAACCGUUGGAGAUGAAAGAAGACGGGGGUGCGGAGCGAGUGGCGUGCCCUGGAAGAUGUCUGGAGAUCCAGCUAGUCAGUGUGUUUUCAGUGCCAGGGAGUUCUGCUCGGCAAGGCCCACAUGACAGAGACGGACUGACUCUGCUUUCAACUGUCACCAGCCACCGAAUGACUGAUCUUGUUUUGCUGGGUCGAGACAGGCCACCAAGCACACUGAACUACUGCUCGCAAAGGUAGUGUAACGGAUAAGAACAAAAUCAGCCUCGCCGGGAUGUGAGGAAAGGGACUCCCGUCGAGUAAGAGAGCUCCAUCGGCUGCAUGGAGGGCGCGCUACAUUCAUCUGUAGAUUCUGAGACCUGAACAGAGAUUCUAGGUGUGGAAAACACUCUCAUGAAAGUUCACACAUGUAUUGGGUGAGAAGGAUCUGUGAGUUGUUCAACCUUUAACAAACAAAUGAGGCGUUUAAUGUCUUC
rnacentral:lncRNA from 1 species